rnacentral:rRNA from 1 species
GACGAACGCUGGCGGCGUGCUUAACACAUGCAAGUCGUACGGUAAGGCCCUUUCGGGGGUCCACGAGUGGCGGACGGGGGCGUAACACGUGAGUAACCUGCCCACAACAUUGGGAUAACGCUAGGAAACUGGUGCUAAUAAUGGAAAUAUGCCACUGCUGCAUGGGGGGGGAUGGAAAGCUCCUGCGGGUGUGGAUGGACUCGCGGCCUAUCAGCUGGUUGGUGGGGUAGUGGCCUACCAAGGCGGCGACGGGUAGCCGGCCUGUGAGGGUGAGCGGCCACAUUGGGUCUUAGAGACGGCCCAGACUCCGACGUGUGGCAGCAGGGGGGAAUCUUGCACAAUGGGCGCCAGCCUGAUGCAGCAACGCCUCGGGCUGGAUGACGGCCUUCUUGUUGUAAACCGCUUUCAGCAGGGACGAAGCUUGUUGUGACGGUACCUGCAGAAGAAGCACCGGCUAACUACGUG